GAGCUGCCAUGUCUACUAUUGGCAAGGAAGCACCCGUGGAAUAAUAAAAUCUCACGUUGUGUGGCGUGUGACUUUUUACCAAAACUGUCUUGUACUCAUCAUCCCAUUUAUUGUUUACCAGGGUUAGAGAUAAUUGAGAAACGGACCUCUGAGUUUCUGUCCAAUUCUAAGCUGCUGAAAUCCGAUAUUUUGUAAGAGAGAGCUCAGGAGGAUGGAGAGAUGGGAUCUACAGAAAACACUAUUUGAACAGAAAGAAGAGCCCCUUUCCACACGGUUCCCAGUAGCGCCAGGAUUCUACAUUGCGGCCGCCCCGUGGGUGCUGGCUCAACAUCAUCAUCUAUAACCCCAAACCGGGCUCCAGAUACUUCUCACUUGGUUCUGUCCUUUCAUAAGGACUCCUUUGAACAAGCUAAUUUACUCCAAUAUUUCUUUUGGAAACAAGUUAAAAAUCGUCUAAGAAAACAGGUCAAACCUUGCAAGCCAGGUAUAUUUGGUAGGGAA
rnacentral:lncRNA from 1 species